AGCAGCCGCGGUAAUUCCAGCUCCAAUAGCGUAUAUUAAAGUUGUUGUGGUUAAAAAGCUCGUAGUUGGAUCUCAACAGCCUUGAAGCGGUUAACUUUGUAGUUUUACUGCUUUAUAGGCUGUGCUUUUGCUGGAGGUUUAGGGGUGCUCUUGAUCGAGUGUCUCUGGAUGCCAGCAGGUUUACUUUGAAAAAAUUAGAGUGCUCAAAGCAGGCUAAAAUGCCUGAAUAUUCGUGCAUGGAAUAAUAGAAUAGGAUGUCGAUCCUAUUUUGUUGGUUUUCGGGACUCGACAUAAUGAUAAAUAGGGACAGUCGGGGGCGUUUGUAUUCAAACGACAGAGGUGAAAUUCUUGGACCGUUUGAAGACAAACUACUGCGAAAGCAUUUGCCAAGAAUGUUUUCAUUAAUCAAGAACGAAAGUUAGAGGUUCGAAGGCGAUUAGAUACCGCCCUAGUUCUAACCAUAAACGAUGCCAGCUAGCGAUCUGCCUGCGUUUUUACUGUAGACUGGGCAGGAAGCUUCCGGGAAACCAAAGCAUUUGGGUUCCAGGGGAAGUAUGGUUGCAAAGCUGAAACUUAAAGGAAUUGACGGAAGGGCACCACCAGGAGUGGAGCCUGUGGCUUAAUUUGACUCAACACGGGAAAUCUCACCAGGCCCGGACACUGGAAGGAUUGACAGAUUGAUAGCUCUUUCUUGAUUCGGUGGGUGGUGGUGCAUGGCCGUUCUUAGUUGGUGGAGUGAUUUGUCUGGUUAAUUCCGAUAACGAACGAGACUCUGUCCUGCUAAAUAGUUUCUACUUCUCUUUUGAGUAGAAAUUUCUUCUUAGAGGGACUGGUGACUCUUAGUCACACGAGAUUUGAGCAAUAACAGGU
rnacentral:rRNA from 1 species